rnacentral:rRNA from 1 species
GACGAACGCUGGCGGCGUGCUUAACACAUGCAAGUCGAGCGGUAAGGCCCUUUCGGGGGUACGACGAGCGGCGAACGGGUGAGUAACACGUGGGUGACCUGCCCUUACGCUCUGGGAGUAAGCCUGGGAAACUGGGUCGUAAUACCGGAUAUGACUCCAUGACGCAUGUUGUGGGGUGGAAAGCCUUGUGCGGCUAGGGAUGGGCCCGCGGCCUAUCAGCUUGUUGGUGGGGUGAGGCCUACCAAGGCGACGACGGGUAGCCGGCCU